rnacentral:rRNA from 1 species
AUUGAACGCUGGCGGCAUGCCUUAUACAUGCAAGUCGAACGGUAACAGGUCUUCGGAUGCUGACGAGUGGCGAACGGGUGAGUAAUACAUCGGAACGUGCCUAGUUGUGGGGGAUAACUACUCGAAAGAGUGGCUAAUACCGCAUGAGAUCUACGGAUGAAAGCAGGGGAUCGCAAGACCUUGUGCUACUAGAGCGGCCGAUGGCAGAUUAGGUAGUUGGUGGGAUAAAAGCUUACCAAGCCGACGAUCUGUAGCUGGUCUGAGAGGACGAUCAGCCACACUGGGACUGAGACACGGCCCAGACUCCUACGGGAGGCAGCAGUGGGGAAUUUUGGACAAUGGGCGAAAGCCUGAUCCAGCAAUGCCGCGUGCAGGAUGAAGGCCUUCGGGUUGUAAACUGCUUUUGUACGGAACGAAAAGCCCCGGGUUAAUACCCUGGGGUCAUGACGGUACCGUAAGAAUAAGCACCGGCUAACUACGUGCCAGCCGCCGCAGUAA